rnacentral:rRNA from 1 species
GACGAACGCUGGCGGCGUGCCUAAUACAUGCAAGUUGAGCGCUGAAGGCUGGUACUUGUACCAACUGGAUGAGCAGCGAAUGGGUGAGUAACGCGUGGGGAAUCUGCCUUUGAGCGGGGGACAACAUUUGGAAACGAAUGCUAAUACCGCAUAAAAACUUUAAACACAAGUUUUAAGUUUGAAAGAUGCAAUUGCAUCACUCAAAGAUGAUUCCGCGUUGUAUUAGCUAGUUGGUGAGGUAAAGGCUCACCAAGGCGAUGAUACAUAGCCGACCUGAGAGGGGGAACGGCCACAUUGAGACUGAGACACGGCCCAAACUCCUGCGGGAGGCAGCAGUAGGGAAUCUUCGGCAAUGGACGAAAGUCUGACCGAGCAACGCCGCGUGAGUGAAGAAGGUUGUCGGAUCGUAAAACUCUGUUGGUAGAGAAGAGCGUUGGUGAGAGUGGAAAGCUCAUCAAGUGACGGUAACUACCCAGAAAUGGACGGCUAACUACGUG